rnacentral:rRNA from 1 species
GAUGAACGCUAGCGACAGGCCUAACACAUGCAAGUCGAGGGGCAGCACGAAGUAAGCUUGCUUACUUUGGUGGCGACCGGCGCACGGGUGCGUAACAGGUGUGCAAUCUGUCCAUAAUCGGGGAAUAGCCCAGCGAAAGUUGGAUUAAUGCUCCAUGUGAGUUUUAGAGGCAUCUCUUUAAUUUGAAACGUAAGGAUUAUGGGUGAGCACGCUUCUGAUUAGGUAGUUGGUGAGGUAACGGCUCACCAAGCCGACGAUCAGUAGGGGUUCUGAGAGGAAGGUCCCCCACAUUGGAACUGAGACACGGUCCAAACUCCUACGGGAGGCAGCAGUGAGGAAUAUUGGUCAAUGGGCGAAAGCCUGAACCAGCCAAGUCGCGUGAAGGAUGAAGGUUCUAUGGAUUGUAAACUUCUUUUGUCUGAGGGUAAAAAAGCGGACGUGUCCGUUCUUGCAAGUAUCAGACGAAUAAGCAUCGGCUAACUCCGUGCCAGCA